CCUACGGGUGACAGCAGUGAGGAAUAUUGGUCAAUGGACGAGAGUCUGAACCAGCCAAGUAGCGUGAAGGAUGACUGCCCUAUGGGUUGUAAACUUCUUUUAUAUGGGAAUAAAAUGUUCCACGUGUGGGAUUUUGUAUGUACCAUAUGAAUAAGGAUCGGCUAACUCCGUGCCAGCAGCCGCGGUAAUACGGAGGAUCCGAGCGUUAUCCGGAUUUAUUGGGUUUAAAGGGAGCGUAGGUGGAUUGUUAAGUCAGUUGUGAAAGUUUGCGGCUCAACAGUAAAAUUGCAGUUGAAACUGGCAGUCUUGAGUACAGGAGAGGUGGGCGGAAUUCGUGGUGUAGCGGUGAAAUGCUUAGAUAUCACGAAGAACUCCGAUUGCGAAGGCAGUUCACUGGACUGCAACUGACACUGAGGCUCGAAAGUGUGGGUAUCAAACAGGAUUAGAUACCCGUGUAGUC
rnacentral:rRNA from 1 species